CACGUAGGGCGCAAGCGUUGUCCGGAAUUAUUGGGCGUAAAGAGCUCGUAGGCGGUCUGUCACGUCUGCUGUGAAAACCCGGGGCUUAACCCUGGGCUUGCAGUGGAUACGGGCAGACUAGAGGCAGGUAGGGGAGAAUGGAAUUCCCGGUGUAGCGGUGAAAUGCGCAGAUAUCGGGAGGAACACCGGUGGCGAAGGCGGUUCUCUGGGCCUGACCUGACGCUGAGGAGCGAAAGCGUGGGGAGCGAACAGG
rnacentral:rRNA from 1 species